rnacentral:misc_RNA from 1 species
CCUCCUUAUAACGAAGUUACACUUACAGAGUGUUCACACAAAUAAUUAAUUACGAAGUUUUAAGAGAGCUCUAACCCAUGCGCACAGUAUGUGCUCAUCAGUUAGGGUUUUUAACCCGGACGUGUAAACGUCAUGCUCUUUAACAAUUUGGAAAGCUGAUAAAAUAAGGUAAACAUUAUUGUUUAUUUAAUUUGUUAUUCAACAAUUUAAAAAAAUAAUUUUGAUUAUCACUGUAAGAGAAAACUCAAGCGUUAUUUAUGUCAAAACGAACAUGCCUAUACAACAUGUCUCGUUAAUAAAUAUGACACAAGAUGAUGCAAUCGAGAAUGUGAGAACAUUUAAGGUUGUAUGGUUAAGUGAAUAAGCGUAUACGGUGGAUGC